UCCUGAAGGUAGCAAGGUGGUAGAGCAUGAGACUCUUAAUCUCAAAGUCAUGGGUUCGAGUCUUACUUUCAGUGAA